UACCAGCACCCCGAGUGGUCGGGACGAUUAUUGGGCCUAAAGCAUCCGUAGCCGGUUCUACAAGUCUUCCGUUAAAUCCACCUGCUUAACAGAUGGGCUGCGGAGGAUACUAUGGAGCUAGGAGGCGGGAGAGGCAAGCGGUACUUAGUGGGUAGGGGUAAAAUCCGUUGAUCCAUUGAAGACCACCAGUGGCGAAGGCGGCUUGCCAGAACGCACUCGACGGUGAGGGAUGGAAAGC
rnacentral:rRNA from 1 species